rnacentral:misc_RNA from 1 species
AAAGUCGUAACAAGGUCUCCGUAGGUGAACCUGCGGAGGGAUCAUUACACAAUAUGAAGGCGGGCUGAAAUCUCUCGGGAGGACAGCCCUGCUGAAUUAUUCACCCGUGUCUUUUGCGUACUUCUUGUUUCCUUGGUGGGCUCGCCCACCACAAGGACAAACCACAAACCUUUUGUAAUUGCAAUCAGCGUCAGUAACAAAAUUAAUAAUUACAACUUUCAACAACGGAUCUCUUGGUUCUG